GACGAACGCUGGCGGCGUGCUUAACACAUGCAAGUCGAACGGUAAGGCCCUUCGGGGUACACGAGUGGCGAACGGGUGAGUAACACGUGGGUGAUCUGCCCUGCACUUCGGGAUAAGCCUGGGAAACUGGGUCUAAUACCGGAUAGGCCUCCUGGCUUCACGGCUGGGGGUGGACAGCUUUUGCGGUGUGGGAUGGGCCCGCGGCCUAUCAGCUUGUUGGUGGGGUAAUGGCCUACCAAGGCGACGACGGGUAGCCGGCCUGAGAGGGUGACCGGUCACACUGGGACUGAGAUACGGCCCAGACUCCUACGGGAGGCAGCAGUGGGGAAUAUUGCACAAUGGGCGCAAGCCUGAUGCAGCGACGCCGCGUGAGGGAUGACGGCCUUCGGGUUGUAAACCUCUUUCAGCUAUGACGAAGCGCAAGUGACGGUAGUAGCAGAAGAAGGACCGGCCAACUACGUGCCAGCCGCCGCCGUAA
rnacentral:rRNA from 1 species